UACGGAAGGCAGCAGUGGGGAAUAUUGCACAAUGGGCGAAAGCCUGAUGCAGCUAUGCCGCGUGUAUGAAGAAGGCCUUAGGGUUGUAAAGUACUUUCAUCGGGGAGGAAAAAACAAACUAAUAAUUUUAUUUCUUGACGUUACCCGAAAAAGAAGCACCGGCUAACUCCGUGCCAGCAGCCGCGGUAAUACGGAGGGUGCUAGCGUUAAUCAGAAUUACUGGGCGUAAAGAGCACGUAGGUGGUUUUUUUAAAGUCAGAUGUGAAAUCCCUGGGCUUAACCUAGGAACUGCAUUUUGAAACUGAAAUACUAGAGUAUCGUAGAGGGAGGUAGAAUUCUAGGUGUAGCGGUGAAAUGCGUAGAUAUCUGGAGGAAUACCUGUGGCGAAAGCGGCCUCCUAAACGAAUACUGACAUUGAGGUGCGAAAGCGUGGGGAGCAAACAGGGAUUAGAUACC
rnacentral:rRNA from 1 species